rnacentral:rRNA from 1 species
CGGUCCAGACUCCUACGGGAGGCAGCAGUAGGGAAUCUUCCGCAAUGGGCGAAAGCCUGACGGAGCAACGCCGCGUGAGUGAUGAAGGUCUUCGGAUCGUAAAACUCUGUUAUUAGGGAAGAGCAUGUGUGUAAGUAACUGUGCAUAUCAUGACGGUACCUACUCAGAAAGCCAUGGCUAACUACGUGCCAGCAGCCGCGGUAA